AACGAACGCUGGCGGCAGGCCUAAAACAUGCAAGUCGAACGAACCUUCGGGUUAGUGGCGCACGGGUGAGUAACACGUGGGAACAUACCCUUCACUGCGGAACAACGUCGGGAAACUGACGCUAAUACCGCAUAAUGACUCCGGUCCAAAGAUUUAUCGGUGAAGGAUUGGCCCGCGCCUGAUUAGGUAGUUGGUGGGGUAAUGGCCUACCAAGCCUACGAUCAGUAGCUGGUCUGAGAGGAUGAUCAGCCACACUGGGACUGAGACACGGCCCAGACUCCUACGGGAGGCAGCAGUUAGGAAUAUUGGACAAUGGAGGAAACUCUGAUCCAGCCAUGCCGCGUGUGUGAUGAAGGCCUUAGGGUUGUAAAGCACUUUCGUCCGCGAAGAUAAUGACAGUACCGGAAGAAGAAGCUCCGGCUAAAUUCGUGCCAGCAGACGCGGUAAUACGAAUGGAGCGAGCGUUGUCGGAAUCACUGGGCGUAAAGCGUGCGCAGGUGGUCGUGAAAGUUAGGAGUGAAAGCCCAGGGCUUAACCUUGGAAUUGCUUUUAAAACUCCACGACUAGAGUACUGGAGGGGGUUUCGGCGGAAAUUUCCGAGUGUAGCAGUGAAAUGCGUAGAUAUUCGAAGGAACACCGAUGGCGUAGGCAGCCAACUGGACAGUAACUGACACUCAUGCACGAAAGUGUGGGGAGCAAACAGGAUUAGAUACCCUGGGUAG
rnacentral:rRNA from 1 species